rnacentral:rRNA from 1 species
AGAGUUUGAUCAUGGCUCAGAUUGAACGCUGGCGGCAGGCCUAACACAUGCAAGUCGAGCGGCAGCACAGAGGAACUUGUUCCUUGGGUGGCGAGCGGCGGACGGGUGAGUAAUGCCUGGGAAAUUGCCCGGUAGAGGGGGAUAACCAUUGGAAACGAUGGCUAAUACCGCAUAACCUCGUAAGAGCAAAGCAGGGGACCUUAGGGCCUUGUGCUACCGGAUAUGCCCAGGUGGGAUUAGCUAGUUGGUGAGGUAAGGGCUCACCAAGGCGACGAUCCCUAGCUGGUCUGAGAGGAUGAUCAGCCACACUGGAACUGAGACACGGUCCAGACUCCUACGGGAGGCAGCAGUGGGGAAUAUUGCACAAUGGGCGCAAGCCUGAUGCAGCCAUGCCGCG